UAGCUAGUUGGUGGGGUAAGGGCCUACCAAGGCGACGAUCGUUAGCUGGUCUGAGAGGAUGGCCAGCCACACUGGAACUGAGACACGGUCCAGACUCCUACGGGAGGCAGCAGUGGGGAAUAUUGGACAAUGGGGGCAACCCUGAUCCAGCAAUGCCGCGUGUGUGAAGAAGGCCUGAGAGUUGUAAAGCACUUUCAGUGGGGAGGAGGGUUAUUAGGUUAAGAGCUAGAUAAUUGGACGUUACCCACAGAAGAAGCACCGGCUAACUCCGUGCCAGCAGCCGCGGUAAUACGGAGGGUGCGAGCGUUAAUCGGAAUUACUGGGCGUAAAGAGUGCGUAGGUGGUUGUAUAAGUUAUCUGUGAAAUCCCUGGGCUCAACCUGGGCAGGUCAGAUAAUACUGUAUAACUCGAGUAUGGGAGAGGGUAGUGGAAUUUCCGGUGUAGCGGUGAAAUGCGUAGAGAUCGGAAGGAACACCAGUGGCGAAGGCGGCUACCUGGCCUAAUACUGACACUGAGGCACGAAAGCGUGGGGAGCAAACAGGAUUAGAUACCCUGGUAGUCCACGCUGUAAACGAUGUCAACUAGCUGUUGGAUAUAUGAAUAUAUUUAGUGGCGC
rnacentral:rRNA from 1 species